rnacentral:sRNA from 1 species
GUAGGGAAUAUUCCACAAUGAGCGAAAGCUUGAUGGAGCGACACAGCGUGCACGAUGAAGGUCUUCGGAUUGUAAAGUGCUGUUAUAAGGGAAGAACACUACAUUGAGGAAAUGCUUUGUAGCUGACGGUACCUUGUCAGAAAGCGAUGGCUAACUAUGUGCCAGCAGCCGCGGUAAUACAUAGGUCGCAAGCGUUAUCCGGAAUUAUUGGGCGUAAAGCGUUCGUAGGCUGUUUAUUAAGUCUGGAGUCAAAUCCCGGGGCUCAACCCCGGCUCGCUUUGGAUACUGGUAAACUAGAGUUAGAUAGAGGUAAGCGGAAUUCCAUGUGAAGCGGUGAAAUGCGUAGAUAUAUGGAAGAACACCAAAGGCGAAGGCAGCUUACUGGGUCUAUACUGACGCUGAGGGACGAAAGCGUGGGGAGCAAACAGGAUUAGAUACCCUGGUAGUCCACGCUGUAAACGAUGAUCAUUAGUCGGUGGAGAGUUCACUGACGCAGCUAACGCAUUAAAUGAUCCGCCUGAGUAGUAUGCUCGCAAGAGUGAAACUUAAAGGAAUUGACGGGGACCCGCACAAGCGGUGGAGCAUGUGGUUUAAUUUGAAGAUACACGGAGAACCUUACCCACUCUUGACAUCUUCCGCAAAGCUAUAGAGAUAUAGUGGAGGUUAACGGAAUGACAGAUGGUGCAUGGUUGUCGUCAGCUCGUGUCGUGAGAUGUUUGGUCAAGUCCUGCAACGAGCGCAACCCCUAUCUUUAGUUACUAACGAGUCAUGUCGAGGACUCUAGAGAUACUGCCUGGGUAACUGGGAGGAAGGUGGGGAUGACGUCAAAUCAUCAUGCCUCUUACGAGUGGGGCAACACACGUGCUACAAUGGUCGGUACAAAGAGAAGCAAUAUGGUGACAUGGAGCAAAUCUCAAAAAGCCGAUCUCAGUUCGGAUUGGAGUCUGCAAUUCGACUCCAUGAAGUCGGAAUCGCUAGUAAUCGCAGAUCAGCUAUGCUGCGGUGAAUACGUUCUCGGGUCUUGUACACGCCGCCCGUCACACCAUGGGAGCUGGUAAUACCCAAAGUCGGUUUGCUAACCUCGGAGGCGACCGCCUAAGGUAGGACUGGUGACUGGGGUGAAGUCGUAACAAGGUAUCCCUACGAGAACGUGGGGAUGGAUCACCUCCUUUCUACGGAGUACAACUUCUGUUAUGGAAAAAAUAUUUGUAUCCAGUUUCGAGAGAUUUAUCUCUCUUUUGUUCUUUGAAAACUGAAUAUCGACAUUGAAAAAUUAUUAAUUAAUAUUUCAAAGUUUAGAUCAACCUAUAGAAUACAAAAUAUAGACAACAAUAGGUCAUACUACAACAACAAAAAAAUAACAAACAACUAUUAAACAAGAUA